rnacentral:tRNA from 1 species
GACCGGUGGUAGGUCAGUUGGAUAAGCGCCCGCCUCUCACGCCAGAGAUGCGGGUUCGAAUCCCGGCGCUGUCA